CAAACAUUUAUCGUCGGUAAAUCGUCGGCUGUGUGCUGUUACUGCUGGCGAAGUGCGUACUGCUGUUACACAUCAUCGGACCUUUGAAGAUCCGAGGACAUGGUUUACGCUGCUGAAGAUGUGUAGAAACAUGAGCAUCUAGCCAGCGUCGGCAAAACGCUGCUGUUAGAUGAGCAACUUCUUGGCGGUUUAUAUUCAUCGGAUCGGUUGCGGUUAGAUGCAUCUUCAGCGCGUUCUACCCUUAACAUAAGGUCAAGCUGUACUAUUUAAAUUUCGCGGGAUUUUGCAUAAGAGCUUCCAGACAAUCUAAUUUCCGUAAUUCCGUAUCGAAGCGUUAUUUCAUUCAGACGGCGUACGCGUGCACGUGUUUCGAUGAUAAAAGAGUUUUUAAGAGUAGGCUAUUUGACGAAAUUUUUCUUUCUGAAAACUUCCUUGUUGUGUUGUGUUGUAUUAACAUAGUAACAGUGAUGUCCCAGGGCAGGCGCCAGGAAUAUCAUCACGUGAAACAGAGAGUUCUCGAAAUAUUAUAAUAGGUCCAAGUAGUACAUCAUCACCAUCAUUAGAACCGAGUACUUCAACGAUCUUUUGAGAUUGCAUGUCGAUAAAGAUAAUUGAAGAGAUAGAAAUGGAUGAGAACACCAUCAAAAUAAAAAGUUGUCCAAAUUUGGCCUCAACGGGGGUAAGGACGUAGCAGAGACAACACGCAAAAUAAUCUAACUCAUAAUAAGCCAUGAAUCAGGAAUUUCCCUGAAUUGGUCGGGUAGGAAUUAAUAAUAAAAAUGGAUUAGAAGCAAUGGCGAAUAUUGUUGAGCUUAAUCAUGGAUCUGUAAGGAUAAAUCCUAUUACAAGAAGUGCCACUGAUGUGGAAAUGAAUCAUGUAAUGAAUUGGCUUCGCAAUACCGGUGACAGAGCAGGAGGCAGAUUGAAAUGAGCGGGGGAAAAAGAAG